AUAUCUUCCUUGUUGCAAGCUUGUUGAGCCGAAUAAUGUCUCAGAGGCAUGAAGAAAUCUUGUUGAGCUGAUGCUCCUUUGUUGCCAUGGGCUUGGGAAUGCCAAUUCUAAUGCCAACAUGUCUUCAAGUGCCAAUGCCAAAGAGAGUAAUGAUGAUUUGCAGGAGCUAGGGGUUUGAUAGUUCGUUUGUUGUAUCCGAGAAGAUGGGGCACUGGAGCAACAAGAUGUGGAUCAUGGAUAUUCCUCUAUGAUAACCUGUUUAACAGGUGCUUGGCCCAACCUAGAUGGUUUACAGUAUUAUACUACGGAGGAAACUGUUAAGUAUGAAGGACCUUGACUCACGAGGUUUAUCUGGAGAUGGUCUUAACUGAAACCGAUUUACAGAGCCUAAUGAAUGAGUUCGUCAUUGUUAUUACCAGUUCUGAGCUGAUGGAUCUCAACAGGAAGUGAAUAAUUAUAUAUCUGGUUCUUUAAGGAGAUCAUCAGGGGGGCUAGGGACAAAAUGCAGCAAUUCCUGGAGAAGUGAAACCUGUAGUUUUGCACAAUUAGCCUGUUUUCAGUUGUCAGUCACUCGCUCUACCAGUUCGUUGUCUACAAUUUAGCUUCUGAAUUCGAACUGUGGCCAAGCUACUGCAACUGAAGUUUAAUGUCUGUGUGUGACCCUGUUACGUGCUAAGAUCACCAGUCUAUAACAAUGGAUCUCUUGGUGGCUCAAGGUUAGUAUUCAACAUGAAGGGAGUCAAUUCUGUACAAGAAGCAAAUACUGAGAAUUCUGCUCAACUGAAACUAUAUAUAGUAUGUUCAUGUUUAUCCUACACAUUUCUGCUACUUUUAUCUCAGAGUCAAGACUACUGCGAAGUUAGAAGGGAGUGUGGA